AGGAAAUAGAACAAGUUUCGUUGUCUUUCUUGUUGUUGGAAAUUAUGUCUCUGAGAGAUGGAGAAACUAAGGCUUCUCAUGCUGACCGGGUGGCGGCUACAGCCAAGCCGUCGGGUACGGCGGAGCAACCACCGUGGAAGAUGAGAGAAAAUCCGGUGGUGAUCGUGAACCGCUGUCCCGUCGUCGCACCCUCCGGCGGAAUCUCCAUAACACUCCUGCCAGGGUAUAUGCAAACCCAAUAUAGCACUUUUUUCGUCUAGAACAGGUUCACGUUAGUUCCCUAUCAAGGUCGAGAGUACAUGUGACUAAGGUCCGAGAGUACAUGUGACCAAGGACAAAGUGGUAUGAUGUUGAGCUGAGCUAAGCGAGUGUCAUUCUUAGGCACUCCCCAAAAAAGAAUUUACGCUCUAGUGCGAUUGCAUACCGUUUUAAUAAAUAAUAUAUAGAGGGUAUUUUAGGUAUCGAGUCCACGUAAUUUGUAUAUAUGAUACCUUAGUAAAAGAUUUAACGAAUCCCGAUAAAGGGAUAUCUAAAGUAAACGUGCUAAGCUAGAAUGUAAAGAUGUCGAUUGUAAUGAGAUACGAUGCAUACUCUAAGAGAUCCCACAAGUCUAUCGUAUUGACCUUAUGUUGCGAA